GGUCAAGAUUGUUAGUGCCGGCACACACCAGGACCUUCCAUCACUAGUCUUUACUCCCUCUCAAAUGUUCUCCUGGGAUUGUUGUCUUGAUUCUUCUCUGGCAUGGCUUUGGUUAACCUUCCAUCACAGUUUGCCCUUGAGGCACCAGCCUACCUCUAGACCCACAGCAUCAGUGCAAAGGCUUACUAGCAUGAGUGAGACAGUCCAGCCCAGCACCAAGCCCUGUCAUAACCUGGACCAUGAAGCACCCAGCCAGGCACCACUAUGACCCUUGAUGGCUAAACACGUCCAAUAAAUACAGAUGUAACUACCUCACGCAAGGACUGUUUGGUGAUUAAGACUUCUUGGGCACUAUCAUGCAAGUACUGAAUGUCAAAAACUGAUACAACCAAGACUAUUAUUGCUAAGCACCUUUUUGGGACUUAUAAUGUGAAUGAACUGACUUACUGCGUAGGUUACUUGGGAAACCUUAUUUUCCAUUUUAUAUUGGACCCAAACCAAAGAGAGAAAUUUUGAACAGAAUAUGUAUGUUGUGGUCAAUAAUAAACUAACUAACUAUGAAUGAAUGUGUUAAGUGAUCACAUUAACAGUAUCCAAACCCAAUAAUGUAGGAUGAUGCAUAAGUUAGUGAUGAAAGAUGAGUGAACGGUAUCUUUAUAAUGUAUGAUGACGCACAAGUUGAUGUCAAGCAGUAAGAGUAAAGAGUACCAUAAACUCAGCAAAAAUACUCGAGGACAAUUGAAUGAGCUCUUUGUUUGGCCGCCGCUCAUGUUAUCAAUGAGUGGAUGUGGCAAUUCCUCAAUGGCCUGUCCUUCAUCCAGCGGGACUGAUAAGAUAGGCACGGGGCAGACAGGUGACGGCUAGAGGUAAACAGGUACGCUAAACUGACUUACAGGUAUGCUAAACUGACUUACAGGUAUGCUAAACUGACUUACAGGUAUGCUAAACUGACUGAAAGGUAUGCUAAACUGACUGAAAGGUAUGCUAAACUGACUGAAAGGUAUGCUAAACUGACUUACAGGUAUGCUAAACUGACUUACAGGUAUGCUAAACUGACUUACAGGUAUGCUAAACUGACUUACAGGUAUGCUAAACUGACUGAAAGGUAUGCUAAACUGACUUACAGGUAUGCUAAACUGACUUACAGGUAUGCUAAACUGACUGAAAGGUAUGCUAAACUGACUUACAGGUAUGCUAAACUGACUUACAAGUACACUAAACACUUACAGGUCCACUCAACUGACUUACAGGUAUACUAAACUGACUGACAGGUGUGCUAAACACUUACAGGUCCACUCAACUGACUUACAGGUAUACUAAACUGACUUACAGGUACGCUAAACUGACUAACAGGUACACUAAACACUUACGGGUCCACUCAACUGACUUACAGGUAUACUAUACUGACUUACAGGUACGCUACACAGACUGACAGGUAUGCUAAACUGACUGACAGAUACGCUAAACUGACUCAGGGAACGCAGCGAGGCCUCAACCCGGUAGCAGCGGGGAUCAUGUUUCUUAAUUGUCCCUCUAAGCGAGAGAAACAAGAAAAAAUCAUCACUCACACAAACCGUUUCAUAA